rnacentral:SRP_RNA from 1 species
AUAGAGUGGUUGGACAUGGAGGAUCGCAAACCCGGUCAGGUCCGGAAGGAAGCAGCCGUAGUGAACACCGUAUGGGUCGACUGCUCUUCGUC